AUUGAACGCUGGCGGCAGGCCUAACACAUGCAAGUCGAACGAGUGGCGGACGGGUGAGUAAUGUCUGGGAAACUGCCUGAUGGAGGGGGAAAAAUACUGGAAACGGUAGCUAAUACCGCAUACUAUGGGAUGUGCCCAGAUGGGAUGAGCAAGUAGGUGGGGGAAAGGCUAACCUGGGCGACGAUCCCUAGCGGGUCUGAUGGGAUGACCACCCACACUGGAACUGAGACAGGGUCCAGACUCCUACGGGAGGCAGCAGGGGGGAAUAUUCAACAAGGGGCGCAAGCCGGAGGCAGCCAUGCCGGGUGUAUGAAGAAGGCCUUCGGGUUGUAAAGUACUUUCAGCGGGGAGGCGUUACCCGCAGAAGAAGCACCGGCUAACUCCGUGCCAGCAGCCGCGGUAAUAC
rnacentral:rRNA from 1 species